ACAAUUAAAGGAGUAAUACAUGCAACAAAGUUUGCUUCAUAAGUAAUUAAGGUGCUUUACACAAAGGGUGGCUCAGAUCCUCCAGGCAAUCUGAGGAAGGAUAUAAACGCUCUUUUCACACACAGCUUUUCUCACUACUUCUCUUGGUUUGUUCUCUGCGGUACACUGAGAAACCUGUGCCACAGCCGGGUGAUGGCUACCAACCAGCUGGCUUGCUCCAAUCCCUGCGAGGCCAAAUGCCCCCAGCCGCUGGCCAGCAGUAGCAACGAGCCCUGCGUGGUGACCUGCGGUGACUCCCGGGUCAUCAUUUACCCACCACCUGUGGUCGUCACCUUCCCAGGGCCCAUCCUCACCACCUACCCACAGCAAACCGUGGUGGGGUCCUCAGAGUCUGCAGAAUUGACCCAGGCUGAGCCCCCCGCCGCGGUAGCCCUACCUGCAGAGGCGCCACCAGUUGAGAAACUCACCCCACAAGUCAUCACCCGUCCUGAGCCGCGCUGUGCUCCCAAGUACUCCUACACCUAUUCUUCCCAAUGGACACAUCCAUGCAACUCAUAUCGCUCCGGAAAGCGGUGGGCAUACUGAAUACUCAUGGAACAAUCUGAAGAAGUCAAGGGAACUCUAGAAGAAAAUUAAGGGUGGAGCUAAUGGGAUCAGCUCAAAUCACCCCCAGGGCUGGGCUCCAGCUGGAGAGAAUGAGAGCUGUGAGAGCUCAGCCCUUGUGGAAGGCAGGCUUGUGUGUGCAUUUCCUCAUUUUGCCUUUAGGUUAGGUCUGUUAUCCUCUGGCUUCCCCGUUUAGUCAUCUGCUUACAUUAUGCUUUGUUUCAGUUAUGUUAUUAACACUGAUUUUAGAGAGGUGACUUAGGACGCUAGAAAUUGCACGCAGGAAAUGCACUAAAAGGGAAAUACAUAAAUUGAUUGCAUUACUUGGAUGCUGGUGAUCAGCGAAAGCCCUACUGGACCCCCAGAAAGAUGUACUUUAUAUUCUGGACAACUUAUACUUUGUACAAUUGUAGAAAAGCUGUCUCCUUCCAAAUAAAUUUUCUAUACCAAA